ensembl:lncRNA
UCAGUCAAAGGCUCUCCAAAGAGAUGAGUUAAUACUCAUUUUUCCAAGUUAAAAUAUCGUAAAACAGAUGUGUUAACUCCUGUGUUUCCAAGUUAAAGGCAGGUAAGCACCUCUGUCAUUCACAAAGCUGGCAGGUUUUUCAAGCCUAAAGGCAGCUAAAGAUCCAGAUAGAUCUUCAUAGGUUAUAUAAGAGAUGUGAUGUAGACUUAGGUGUCUAGGCCCACUGAAGAACCGAGAUGCCCUUGAAAGCCCUCCUUAUCAUCAGCAACUGGAAGAACUGGACCCUUAAUGAAACAGAGUGGUUGUUUUUCAGCCUCAUAUAUUUCUGAUCAAAUGUUUAUAAGUGGCCCUGUACAUUCACUUACUGUGAGUGUAAGAGAAGUGCUAAUAAUGAAUCUCCGCGAAACAAGAAAUGAGUGGAAGAUAGUCAAUUUUACGUGAAUAUACUGGCUGAGGCCUUUUGAUCUCUAUCAUCACUAAUCAGCACAUUUUCCAAGAGAUGAAGGUGUUGUCAUGUCUUUGAAUUUUGUUGUAAAAGAGGAUUAAGGUACUUCUGGGGACACUUAGAUAUGAAAUUCCUAUGUUUCUGCCAUUUGCAUAUUGUACUUUCUUGUUCUGUUUUACUUACGGAAACCUUGUGAACUGCGAUAUAUUAUCAUACAAUAGGUGUUAUAUUAUCAUACAAUAGGUGUAUGCCCUCAUCCUCAUUUCAGUUUUAAGUGAGUAUUGAAAGGAAAGAUCCUUAAUUUCUUCUUCAGAUAAACUGAGAGCUGGAAAGUAGUCUUCCUACACUUCCAUUACUCCUAGGUAAUGGAAGUUUUGCAAGAAAGGCCUUACACAGCUUUCCUCAGCAAUCUCAGGGCCUAAAUUUUCCUUAUCUUGUGCAAACAAAGUCACUACAUGGUAGCAAGAAGUUCUCUCCUGUGCUAAUAAGAGAGUGGCUGUCUCUCCAUUCUAAGGAUUAAGUUCCCUUUCCUUUGAGAAGCAGCAGCUGUGUAGCAGUGUAUGUGGCCGUACUCAGGGCAGUUGUGUGGGUCUGCAACUGUCUUACAUGGAUAGCAAGAAAAAGCAGUAGGCUUGGGGGCAGUAGAUCAACCCCGAGUAAGGGCUUUAAUAGAAAAUCCUGGGGAACUUCAUGAGACAUGUGAGGGGAAAUGUUACUUUCUUCUCUUCAAGCCUUGUAGAUAACUGGAUUGUAUUUUGAACUGUAUAGAUAGGUAGAUAGAUACAGAUAUAUUCUUUUUUUUUUUUUUUUUUUUUAAGAAACUCAGGCUAGGAACUUCAGUUUUGAAAACAAAAGCAUUCUUCAGAAGGUGUGCAGAUUAUUGCAUUUAGGCUGAUACAACACCACAGUCCUUUUUGAUUUGCUUCGAAGUUUUGCUGAAAAACAGACCUUAGCUCUAGGAAAAUUCUGCCUCACAUUAAGGCACUAAUGCACCACUAAUGUUUGUGUGUGUGAAGGCUUUUCUGCCAUGUGGAAAAGGAGAAAAGUUAGAUUUAAAAUGGAAACAUUUACUGUGGUCUUAAUUCCAGAGUGACUGUCUUUUUUCCAUGAUUUCUUUCCCGAGCCAUUGGAUCCAUGUGUCUUCUUCCUAAGUGGACAUUUAUCAACAUGACAUUAAGCUGUCAUUUAAUUUCUCGCCUUGGGUGCUCUGAAGGAAUUAAUAGUUCAUUGUAUGUAACCGAAACUAUUCCAUAUAAGUCCCUGUGUCACGCUAGUCACUGUAGAUUUGAAUGCCCUCCAGUAGUGUGCUAAGCAACGUGACUAACAUUUGCUGUUUGCUUUCCCCCCUUCAUAAGGGACAUGUGUGUGCACUGACGUGCAUUCUUUCUGAAAGAGUGUUUUGGAUUUUUUUCAUCCACACCUGUGCAUUGCUUUGUUUUGUUAACGGAUAGGAAUACGCUAUGGAGUGGGAGGUGGAGAGGCUGGAAAUAGUUUGUUGUUCCCAAGGGUGUCGUUUCUGUAGUUUGAUCUGGGCACCUAGAAAGUGAGGUGUUUCCACAGAUGAGAUUUGUUGUUUAUCCAUGAGCUGACGCAGAAGCGUGGUGUCCAUUUCAGAUGACGAACAGCACUGUUUUGUGAUCUCAGACCAUCUCUGAUGUGAAUCUUAUAGAAAGAAAUUGUACACGCCUUGAAAUAUGUGUCACGGAUCAAAAUGCCAGAUACAUUUUUUGCCACCUCUGUACAGAACUUAAAUCAACUGACGUACCCAAGCAGUAGUAAGUUGCCAGCAUACUGCCUUUUACCGAGUCAAAAAAGAAGACACUAAAAAUGUUGUAACUGCUGAUUAAAAAUCCUUUGAAAUG